rnacentral:rRNA from 1 species
GUGCCAGCCGCCGCGGUAAAACCAGCACCUCAAGUGGUCAGGAUGAUUAUUGGGCCUAAAGCAUCCGUAGCCUGCUUUGCCAGUUUUCGGUUAAAUCCAUACGCUUAACGUAUGGGCUGCCGGAAAUACUACAAAGCUAGGGAGUGGGAGAGGUAGACGGUACUCGGGAGGAAGUGGUAAAAUGCUUUGAUCUCUCGAUGACCACCUGUGGCGAAGGCGGUCUACCAGAACACGUCCGACGGUGAGGGAUGAAAGCUGGGGGAGCAAACCGGAUUAGAUACCCGGGUAGUCCCAGCUGUAAACUAUGCAAACUCGGUGAUGCAUUGGCUUGAUGCCAAUGCAGUGCCGCAGGGAAGCCGUUAAGUUUGCCGCCUGGGAAGUACGUACGCAAGUAUGAAACUUAAAGGAAUUGGCGGGGGAGCACCACAAGGGGUGAAGCCUGCGGUUCAAUUGGAGUCAACGCCAGAAAUCUUACCCGGAGAGACAGCAGAAUGAAGGUCAAGCUGAAGACUUUACCAGACAAGCUGAGAGGUGGUGCAUGGCCGUCGCCAGCUCGUGCCGUGAGAUGUCCUGUUAGGUCAGGUAACGAGCGAGAUCCCUGCCUCUAGUUGCCACCAUUACUCUCAGGAGUAGUGGGGCGAAUUAGCGGGACAGCCGUAGUUAAUACGGAGGAAGGAAGGGGCCACGGCAGGUCAGUAUGCCCCGAAACUCUGGGGCCACACGCGGGCUGCAAUGGUAACGACAAUGUGUUCCGAAUCCGAAAGGAGGAGGUAAUCCAGAAACGUUACCACAGUUAUGACUGAGGGCUGCAACUCGCCCUCACGAAUAUGGAAUCCCUAGUAACUGCGUGUCAUUAUCGCGCGGUGAAUACGUCCCUGCUCCUUGCACACACUGCCCGUC